rnacentral:rRNA from 1 species
GAUGGAUUCCUCCCCGCAAGGGGCGUGGACACAGGUGCUGCAUGGCUGUCGUCAGCUCGUGUCGUGAGAUGUUGGGUUAAGUCCCGCAACGAGCGCAACCCUCGCCCUUAGUUGCCAUCAUUCAGUUGGGCACUCUAAGGGGACUGCCGGUGAUAAGCCGCGAGGAAGGUGGGGAUGACGUCAAGUCCUCAUGGCCCUUACGGGCUGGGCUACA